rnacentral:lncRNA from 1 species
GACGCUUUAAUAGAGGGGCGAGAUGGCAGAGAGAUGCGCAAACCGGCCACGUGGAGGUCCAGCGCGGUAGGCUCGGGCGCAAGCAGAGGAGCGGGCCGUACGCUCGCCCCUCCCGUUCCAGGGAGCCGCCGAGUGCCGGGUCGUCGCUGACCGCAGGCUGCAAGAGCGGUUGAUCUGGGAAAUUCCUCACUGCCGGACUGCACCCACCCUUGAGGACCUCACAAUCUCUUUGUGCAGAGCAGAAGCCAGACACAGACAGGGACUACGAAGCGACAAUCCCCAGCCCUGUGUGUUCAAGGAGCCCCCGAGGGGCAGGCGGCCACGCUGCAGAAGGCUAGCCUCUCCGACCCCCAGGGAGCAUGGCGUGGGCUGCAGGGACAGAACGCUUCUCAGAGGAGGUAGGGACCCCAUGGAGUACGUGACGCCGGGCCCUCCAGCUGCAUGCUCCAGUUAGCAGGACAGAGACCCCUCCCCACCCAUUCCCAGCCUUCCCUGGCUUCCUGUUCUGCUGCUGGGAGGCCCUGUCACCACACAUGCGCGUGCACGCGCUAACACACACACCCCUCCCAGGCACCCCCGGAAGACCAGCUGCAGCUGGGGGUGGGGGUGCACAGAGCACAGCCAGGGUUCUCAGAUCCCUAGCCUGCUCUCCCACCCUGCCCUAGCCCCCAACUGCCGAGCUGCUUCUAGGUUUAAAGCAAAACAUGACUCUGUCCUUCCUGCUGCUCAGUGGCAGCAACACUGCCUCGGGUUAUUUUUAGCAGGGAUGCAGGGAAGGCACAGUUCUCCUUGACUUUAACUAGGGACAACCCCCAACCCCCCGCCAAGACUCACUGGAGGAGGCCGGGUACGGAAACCCCCCUCCCAGAAAGGGGAAAUGGUGUGUUUUCUGUUCCUUCAAUUCACUAGAAUGGGAGUUGCAGUCAAGCUUGGGGUUGAACUGAUGGGAAAUUCUAGGUUCCAAAGCCUAUGUAUGGGCUCUGCCCCAUUCCUGGUCUCUGUGUUUCCAUGAAUCUGGGAAGCCAGAGGCACACAGUGUCUGGAGUCGAG